UACGUAGGGUGCGAGCGUUAAUCGGAAUUACUGGGCGUAAAGCGUGCGCAGGCGGUUAUUUAAGUCAGGUGUGAAAGCCCUGGGCUUAACCUAGGAAUUGCGCUUGAGACUGGAUAGCUUGGAGUGCGGCAGAGGGAGGUGGAAUUCCACGUGUAGCAGUGAAAUGCGUAGAGAUGUGGAGGAACACCGAUGGCGAAGGCGGUUCUCUGGGCCUUACCUGACGCUGAGGAGCGAAAGCGUGGGGAGCGAACAGG
rnacentral:rRNA from 1 species